rnacentral:rRNA from 1 species
GACGAACGCUGGCGGCGUGCUUAACACAUGCGAGUCGAACGGAAAGGCCCUGCUUUUGUGGGGUGCUCGAGUGGCGAACGGAUGAGUAACACGUGAGUAACCUGCCCUUGACUUUGGGAUAACUUCAGGAAACUGGGGCUAAUACCGGAUAGGAGCUCCUGCUGCAUGGUGGGGGUUGGAAAGUUUCGGCGGUUGGGGAUGGACUCGCGGCUUAUCAGCUUGUUGGUGGGGUAGUGGCUUACCAAGGCUUUGACGGGUAGCCGGCCUGAGAGGGUGACCGGCCACAUUGGGACUGAGAUACGGCCCAGACUCCUACGGGAGGCAGCAGUGGGGAAUAUUGCACAAUGGGCGGAAGCCUGAUGCAGCAACGCCGCGUGCGGGAUGACGGCCUUCGGGUUGUAAACCGCUUUCGCCUGUGACGAAGCGUGAGUGACGGUAAUGGGUAAAGAAGCACCGGCUAACUACGUG